rnacentral:rRNA from 1 species
CCUACGGGGUGCAGCAGUCGAGAAUCAUUCACAAUGGGGGAAACCCUGAUGGUGCGACGCCGCGUGGGGGAAUGAAGGUCUUCGGAUUGUAAACCCCUGUCAUGUGGGAGCAAAUUACAAUGAUUGUACCACAAGCGGAAGAGACGGCUAACCCGGCGCCAGCAGCCGCGGGAAUACAGAGGUCUCAAGCGUUGUUCGGAGUUACUGGGCGUAAAGCGUGCGUAGCCGGUUUCGUAAGUCGUGUGUGAAAGGCGCGGGCUCAACCCGCGGACGGCACCUGGUACUGCGAGACUAGAGUAAUGGAGGGGCAAGCGGAACUCUCGGUGUAGCAGUGAAAUGCGGAGAUAUCGGGAGGAACACUCGUGGCGAAGGCGGGUUCCUGGACAUUAACUGACGCUGAGGCACGAAGGCCAGGGGAGCGAAAGGGAUUAGAUACCCUUGUAGUC